UUGUCCUUCAGAGCCACCGUAGCUAACCCUCACUGCAUUGUUCACUUUUUAGGGUGUAUUUACUUUCUUGUGCAGGAUUCUAGUUCAGAACCAUGGUCCAAAGUCCAUUUGGAGGAAGCAACAAUGCUGUUGCUUAUCAACAUAAGGCCCCAGCCUGUGUGUGAACCCAAAACCAGACCACAGCUUGCAAUGCUGAUACUGCUCUCAGUAAUGAGACUGGUCUGAAUCAGCACAGCAGCGUCAUCCACAAUCAUUCAAAGCCCUCACGGUCUUUAGACUGCUGUCAUCAUCAUCUUCCUCCUCCUCUUCUUCCUCCUCCUCCACAAGGGGCUUCUCGGGCUCAUCAUGGGGUUGGUGUCGGUGGUGGUGCAGCUCAAUGAGUAGGUAGUAGAUGACGGCCGCCAGCACGCCCCCGACCAUGGGUCCCGCCACGGGGAUCCACCACCAGUUUUCUCCGGUGCUGUGAGUAUAAACACACAUCAGAGGAAAGAGUUCAAAGUGGCUCUGUCAGUGACACAUGAGGCUGUCACAGAGGCCGCUGUAGAUCGCUGGCACCAUCACAGGAUCACUCACUAACAUCGACUGCAUCUGUCUGCUGCAUGUGAUGUUAUAUAACAACACGCUCCAUCAUCAGCAGCUCAGCUCGGGUAAAAUGAUGAUAAAUAAGCACUUGUAGAUCCGGGCAGUGGCCACAGAGACUCUUUGAAUGUAUUUUAUCAGUGAUAGAUAAAAGGCCUUGAUUGCUAUUCCAAAGAUUUAAGUUGUCAUCACCAUGAAUACAGUCCAGUACUGAUAGACUCCUAUUGAUACUUGAGUUUUAAACCCCAUCAAUUUUUGAAUGAACAUGAAUGUAUACAUUUUUUUUUCUUUUUCCUUAAAUUUUCUAUCUCUUUAUCUAUACACUGAACAAUAUUUACACUCCACCCCUUGCUUCCAAAUCUUGUCCUGUUGUAAGUUAUCACAUGUUUAUUUGUUUGUAUAUUUGUUUGUUUUUCGCUCUUAGUUUGUGUAUCAGUGUGUGUUAGACCUUGUCCAG